rnacentral:lncRNA from 1 species
CAAGACCAGGUUUUCAGUUUAAUACAAGUUAAUUGCCUGUUAAAAUAAACACUGUUCGAAGGAAUAUAAUAGGAUCCAUAAUGCCCACAACAGCUUUCCCAAUGUUCAGGAUACAAUCCCAAAUUACUGUACCGACAAAGAAUCUGGAAAAUGGGACUACUCUCAGGAGAAGAUAGAUAGAAGCCAACACCCAAAAUGAUCUAAAUGUUGAAAUUAUUGCAUGAUGCUUUAAAGAAGCUAGUGUAAUUGAGAUAGAGGAAAAUAUUCUUGUACAAAUGAAUGAAAAUGUAAGGAUUUUGGCAGGAAAACACAAAAUACUAAAGGGGAAUUUUAGAACUAAGAAAUACAAUAUUUGAAAUGUCAAAAACCCUCUCAACAUACUUCAUUAAUAGCAGAAGAAAAAUAACAGGAGGAAGAUUUGGUAAACACUAAGAGAAAUCAAAAGAGAAAAGGAUUUUAAAAGAGUGAAUGGAACUCUAGGACCCAUGGGGCAAAAUUAAGAAUUAACAUGUAUUUACUGUUUCAGAAGGAAAGGAGAGGGAAUGGAGCAAGGGAAAAAAUAUUGAAGAAAUAAUGGCCAAAAUUUUUCCAAACUUCAUGAAAAACAUAAAUUUAAAGAUUCAAAAAAAAAAACCAAAAACUCAAGUGAAGCUCAAAUAAGGUAAACACAAAGAAAGCCACACCAAAGCCCGUUACAGUCAAAUUGCUGAAACUAAAGAUAAACUGAAAAUCUUGAAAGAAGCCAGAGGAAAAGGGCCCACGGUGCACACUGGGUAACUGAUGCAAAUGAUGGCCGCCUCCCUCUGAAUGUGUGAAGCAGAUGAGCCGAACAGUAUCUUUCAUGUCCUAACAGAGGAAAAAACUGUCAAGCCAGAAAUCUAAAUCCACUGCAAAUAUCCGUUGGGAACAGAGGAAAAGACACUUUUUUUUUAAAUAAAAGGAAAUAUAAGAAACUUCACUGCCAGCAGAUUUGCAUGACAAGAAGAAUUAAAGUUCACUAAGUGCAUGGAAAUUACAUGAGAGAAAGCCUGAUUUUCCAUGAGGUGAUGUACAGUGUUGGAUAUGAUAGGUAUCUAUGUGAAUAAAAGAGGUGGUGCCUUCACUCAGUUUAUUUAAAAUACAUGUAGUGAUUUUUAAAAAAAUUAUCUCUGGGUAGAUGUAGCACAGGAGACAACAGCAUAAAGUACAGAACUGGCGUGGGGGUGGGGUGGGGGGGUGUUAAAUGGAAUAUGCGGUUACAAGACUUGUAUGUUUUUCCCUGAAGUGGGAUAUAAUAACUCUCGUAGAUUUGGAAGAGUUAAGAGGGCAUGUUACAUUCUCUAGAGCAACAUUAAAAAAUGGUGCAAAGAAGCCUAGCUAAGAAGAUAAUAGGUAAAUGAGAAGGAAUUCUAAUAAACCAAUCAGUGUGUUUGUGGUAUGGAGCGACUGGAGAGCAGACCUUUUCCUAAUUCUUUGGGUUCCUCAUGGAAUUGAUCAUAUUUGAGUGACUGUUUCUUUCUUCCUACUCCUCUGG